rnacentral:tRNA from 1 species
GGAGCAGUAGUUCAGUUGGUUAGAAUACCUGCCUGUCACGCCGGGGGUCGCGGGUUCGAGUCCCGUCUGUUCCGCCA